UACUCUGCAAAAGGGAAGAGAAGGGGGGUGAGCUUAAGCUCAUAGUGUAAUCACAUUCCCGAAUAUAAUCCCUAAGAUUUCCAUCAAUAACACUAUCACAAAGUAAUAACUUUGUUACCUGGAAAACGUACGUCGUCUAUUUAUAUUACAUCUCCCAAUCUGAUAUCAACAAUAUACCAUUUCAUAUAAUAUCAAUUCUGUCAAAUCAUAUAACAAACAUAAUCAUAUAAAUAAAAUUGUACUUGCAACGUUAGUAUAAUAGCAACCUGUCAACCAAAUCAUAUUUGCCACCAAAUUAAUCUUUCGAAUCAUAAAGGUGAUAGAACAAACAUAAUUAUAUAAAAAAGUUGCACUUUCAAAUAAUAAUAGGAUACUUGUCAACCAAAAUAAUAUUAUCCCAAUAUAGUGCAAAUACAACAAUUUAUUCCAUCAACUUUUUACUUUAUUUCAUCAUCCAACACAAUAUAUAGUUUGAGACAUCAUGGCAUCAUCCCCGUCACUUACUUACAUCAGUCACUGCAACAUAUAUACUAUGAGAUAAUCAUAACCACAUAAUUACUGUUAAAGAACACUAUCAUUUCUCAAAUACAUAACACAUUCAGCCCCCCAAGUUCUGCUUAGUGUGGACACGGGGAUACGAACAGUAUACGUAGCCCGAUGAGGGCAUCUGUACAUCUGUAUGAGGUACUAUCAGAUGUUGUACAUCUAGGGGUGAGCAAAAAAACUGAAAACCGAAUAUCCGAACCGAACCAAACAGAAAUUUUAAAAUUCGGUUCGGUUUUUUCAAUUUUUUUGUUCGGUUUGAUUUUUAAAAUCCAAAAAUUUUAGUUUUUCGGUUUGGUACGGACAAAAAAAAAUGAAAAAUUGAAUUAUAUUUAAUAAAACUAUACAUUAAAAUAUUAUAUAUAUAUAUAUAUAUAUAUAUAUAUAUAUAUACUACUUAAAACUCUUAACCCUAAAAAAAUUCCGCCUCCUUCUUAAUCUGACUCUCCGCCUCCAUCCUCAAUUCUCAAUCUCUCCGCUGUAAUUCUCAAACUCUAAAGGUGGAAUCUCACAAACUCUAAGCCUCCAUCCCGUUGCCUAUCUCUGUUCCAGCUCAUCGCCUCCAGCCGUGCUCCAGCCAUCCAUGCCGCCUCCGCCCUCCAGCAAUGCAGUCGUGCUCCAGCAAUCCACGCCGCCAUCAGACGUGCUCCGGCCAUCAACGCCGUCUUCAGAAGAAGAUUUUACAAAGUCCAUUCAAAGCUUGAGAAAAAUUAUGGGCAAAAGAUAUGUGGCCAAAGCUCAUCCCUUGAAAGUAUUGAAGACUUGGAAUGAAUUUACAUUGUUAUAAUUUGUUGUAGAUUAAUUAGAUAUCAUGAAACUCUAUUUUUUAUGUUUGGCCUAAAUAUUUAUUUUUGUUGGUGGAUGUAUGUUAAUUAUGUUAUGGUUUUAUGAUU